rnacentral:rRNA from 1 species
CAGCAGCCGCGGGAAUACGUAGGGUGCAAGCGUUAAUCGGAAUUACUGGGCGUAAAGCGUGCGCAGGCGGUUUGUUAAGACAGAUGUGAAAUCCCCGGGCUUAACCUGGGAACUGCAUUUGUGACUGGCAAGCUAGAGUAUGGCAGAGGGAGGUGGAAUUCCGCGUGUAGCAGUGAAAUGCGUAGAUAUGCGGAGGAACACCGAUGGCGAAGGCAGCCCCCUGGGCCAAUACUGACGCUCAUGCACGAAAGCGUGGGGAGCAAACAGGAUUAGAUACCCCUGUAGUCCCUGUCUCUUAUAC